GGGUUGUGAGGUUAAGCGACUAAGCGUACACGGUGGAUGCCCUGGCAGUCAGAGGCGAUGAAGGACGUGCUAAUCUGCGAUAAGCGUCGGUAAGGUGAUAUGAACCGUUAUAACCGGCGAUUUCCGAAUGGGGAAACCCAGUGUGUUUCGACACACUAUCAUUAACUGAAUCCAUAGGUUAAUGAGGCGAACCGGGGGAACUGAAACAUCUAAGUACCCCGAGGAAAAGAAAUCAACCGAGAUUCCCCCAGUAGCGGCGAGCGAACGGGGAGCAGCCCAGAGCCUGAAUCAGUGUGUGUGUUAGUGGAAGCGUCUGGAAAGGCGCGCGAUACAGGGUGACAGCCCCGUACACAAAAAUGCACAUGCUGUGAGCUCGAUGAGUAGGGCGGGACACGUGGUAUCCUGUCUGAAUAUGGGGGGACCAUCCUCCAAGGCUAAAUACUCCUGACUGACCGAUAGUGAACCAGUACCGUGAGGGAAAGGCGAAAAGAACCCCGGCGAGGGGAGUGAAAAAGAACCUGAAACCGUGUACGUACAAGCAGUGGGAGCACGCUUAGGCGUGUGACUGCGUACCUUUUGUAUAAUGGGUCAGCGACUUAUAUUCUGUAGCAAGGUUAACCGAAUAGGGGAGCCGAAGGGAAACCGAGUCUUAACUGGGCGUUAAGUUGCAGGGUAUAGACCCGAAACCCGGUGAUCUAGCCAUGGGCAGGUUGAAGGUUGGGUAACACUAACUGGAGGACCGAACCGACUAAUGUUGAAAAAUUAGCGGAUGACUUGUGGCUGGGGGUGAAAGGCCAAUCAAACCGGGAGAUAGCUGGUUCUCCCCGAAAGCUAUUUAGGUAGCGCCUCGUGAAUUCAUCUCCGGGGGUAGAGCACUGUUUCGGCAAGGGGGUCAUCCCGACUUACCAACCCGAUGCAAACUGCGAAUACCGGAGAAUGUUAUCACGGGAGACACACGGCGGGUGCUAACGUCCGUCGUGAAGAGGGAAACAACCCAGACCGCCAGCUAAGGUCCCAAAGUCAUGGUUAAGUGGGAAACGAUGUGGGAAGGCCCAGACAGCCAGGAUGUUGGCUUAGAAGCAGCCAUCAUUUAAAGAAAGCGUAAUAGCUCACUGGUCGAGUCGGCCUGCGCGGAAGAUGUAACGGGGCUAAACCAUGCACCGAAGCUGCGGCAGCGACGCUUAUGCGUUGUUGGGUAGGGGAGCGUUCUGUAAGCCUGUGAAGGUGUGCUGUGAGGCAUGCUGGAGGUAUCAGAAGUGCGAAUGCUGACAUAAGUAACGAUAAAGCGGGUGAAAAGCCCGCUCGCCGGAAGACCAAGGGUUCCUGUCCAACGUUAAUCGGGGCAGGGUGAGUCGACCCCUAAGGCGAGGCCGAAAGGCGUAGUCGAUGGGAAACAGGUUAAUAUUCCUGUACUUGGUGUUACUGCGAAGGGGGGACGGAGAAGGCUAUGUUGGCCGGGCGACGGUUGUCCCGGUUUAAGCGUGUAGGCUGGUUUUCCAGGCAAAUCCGGAAAAUCAAGGCUGAGGCGUGAUGACGAGGCACUACGGUGCUGAAGCAACAAAUGCCCUGCUUCCAGGAAAAGCCUCUAAGCAUCAGGUAACAUCAAAUCGUACCCCAAACCGACACAGGUGGUCAGGUAGAGAAUACCAAGGCGCUUGAGAGAACUCGGGUGAAGGAACUAGGCAAAAUGGUGCCGUAACUUCGGGAGAAGGCACGCUGAUAUGUAGGUGAAGUCCCUCGCGGAUGGAGCUGAAAUCAGUCGAAGAUACCAGCUGGCUGCAACUGUUUAUUAAAAACACAGCACUGUGCAAACACGAAAGUGGACGUAUACGGUGUGACGCCUGCCCGGUGCCGGAAGGUUAAUUGAUGGGGUUAGCCGCAAGGCGAAGCUCUUGAUCGAAGCCCCGGUAAACGGCGGCCGUAACUAUAACGGUCCUAAGGUAGCGAAAUUCCUUGUCGGGUAAGUUCCGACCUGCACGAAUGGCGUAAUGAUGGCCAGGCUGUCUCCACCCGAGACUCAGUGAAAUUGAACUCGCUGUGAAGAUGCAGUGUACCCGCGGCAAGACGGAAAGACCCCGUGAACCUUUACUAUAGCUUGACACUGAACAUUGAGCCUUGAUGUGUAGGAUAGGUGGGAGGCUUAGAAGUGUGGACGCCAGUCUGCAUGGAGCCGACCUUGAAAUACCACCCUUUAAUGUUUGAUGUUCUAACGUUGACCCGUAAUCCGGGUUGCGGACAGUGUCUGGUGGGUAGUUUGACUGGGGCGGUCUCCUCCUAAAGAGUAACGGAGGAGCACGAAGGUUGGCUAAUCCUGGUCGGACAUCAGGAGGUUAGUGCAAUGGCAUAAGCCAGCUUGACUGCGAGCGUGACGGCGCGAGCAGGUGCGAAAGCAGGUCAUAGUGAUCCGGUGGUUCUGAAUGGAAGGGCCAUCGCUCAACGGAUAAAAGGUACUCCGGGGAUAACAGGCUGAUACCGCCCAAGAGUUCAUAUCGACGGCGGUGUUUGGCACCUCGAUGUCGGCUCAUCACAUCCUGGGGCUGAAGUAGGUCCCAAGGGUAUGGCUGUUCGCCAUUUAAAGUGGUACGCGAGCUGGGUUUAGAACGUCGUGAGACAGUUCGGUCCCUAUCUGCCGUGGGCGCUGGAGAACUGAGGGGGGCUGCUCCUAGUACGAGAGGACCGGAGUGGACGCAUCACUGGUGUUCGGGUUGUCAUGCCAAUGGCACUGCCCGGUAGCUAAAUGCGGAAGAGAUAAGUGCUGAAAGCAUCUAAGCACGAAACUUGCCCCGAGAUGAGUUCUCCCUGACUCCUUGAGAGUCCUGAAGGAACGUUGAAGACGACGACGUUGAUAGGCCGGGUGUGUAAGCGCAGCGAUGCGUUGAGCUAACCGGUACUAAUGAACCGUGAGGCUUAACCUUACAACGCCGAAGGUGUUU
rnacentral:rRNA from 2 species